AUACGGACCAGGCAUAAAGUGACCCUCUCUAGAUGACCGCUUUAGACACUGCCUAGCGGUUAGUGUGUUCCUGCUGCCUGCUCAGCCCUGUGACUAACACCCUCACGACAGCUCGGAUUGGAGCAGUUUCUUCUGCCUGGAACAAUUCCACCAGCUCGCUGCCACCUACCCACUGCCUCCCAGAUACUGUUGACUGUUUAUACGCCGGCCCCCUGCACUGGACCACGCAUAUGUCUCUGUAACAGCACCGCACGCGCAAGGGUGCCUGUGACAGGUCUUCCUGUAUACACGGCAUACAUUGAAAAACUACAACUCCCAGAAAUCCCACGCCAGAACUGAGCCCGCGCCGUUGCUAUGGCAUCUGACAAUCUGGAAGACGCCCCUGGAUACCUGCAUUGUACUUGCAGAAGCCUCAUGGACUGAAGGGGACAAAAAUCAAAACCUAAGACCAGCUAAAGGUGGGAACCCCCAUCACAGACUGGGAUUUCAAAGUAUUACACUUUUAAGAUACAGAUGAAACAAAAGUAAAUCGGUCUUCACACUGACUUGAGACCUGGUUGUGUGCCAUCUGGAUGAUCUAGGGAACCUCCAGCUUUCAGUAUGAAUUAAGGUUUGGUAAUAUUCCCAGGUAAAGGCAACCAGAAAUCCUUCUAGAGGUAGAUGCCUCAUCCUUAUCCUGUUUAUUCCUAUAAUUAAUUGUUCAAAUAUAGUAUUCAGCUCAUAGAUAACCUGGCACAUGUAGAGACAAGACACUAUGAGCAACAAUCAGUAAAAACAAGAGACCAUUAAGACUUCAGGUACUUAAAUUUUAGACAAAUUUAGGUAA